AACGCACAUUGCGCCCGCCAGUAUUCUGGCGGGCAUGCCUGUUCGAGCGUCAUUUCAACCCUCGGGUCCCCGGCUUCGGCUGGGGAGCCGGUGUUGGGGCUCGGGGGGACCUAGCGUCCUCCCGUCCCCUAAAUACAGUGGCGGUCACGCUGCAGCUUCCUCUGCGUAGUAAUGCACCUCGCAGCCUGGAGAGCGGCGCGGCCACGCCGUAAAACCCCCCUAUUUCUCAAGGUUGACCUCGAAUCAGGUAGGAAUACCCGCUGAACUUAA
rnacentral:misc_RNA from 1 species